rnacentral:rRNA from 1 species
CGUCAAGCGAGGAUGGGCGCACGGUGGAUGCCUUGGCGUCAGGAGCCGACGAAGGACGCUGCCGGCGGCGAAAGGUCCGGGGAGCUGCCGAGCAAGCUGCGAUCCGGACGUCUCCGAAUGGGGAAACCCGGCGGGGGUCAUGCCCCGUCACCCACCGCGGAAUCCAUAGGCGGUGCGGAGGGAACCCGGGGAACUGAAACAUCUCAGUACCCGGAGGAAAAGAAAUCAACCGAGAUUCCCUGAGUAGUGGCGAGCGAAAGGGGAGGUAGCCCAAACCCCGCGGGUGCCAAGCCCGCAGGCGUUGCCCGCGGGGGGUUGUGGGACGCGGUCGGACCGGGCUGCGGACCGGUCGGGAAGUUACCAA